AACUCGUCCUUAUUGCUCUAACUUGAGUGGGAGAGAGUGCAGCUUAGUUUUAUUUCUUAAAAGGAAUGAUAUAAGAAUUUAAACUAAAUUAAAAAAAAUAGAAUUAAAUAAAAAUAUCCUCAAAACCUAACUCCAUAUCUCAAAAUCCCUAAUAUCUGCGGUGCUCGUCCUAGCAUCUCUACAAGCCGCUAUCUACGAUGUUGCUUCUACUUCUGCUUCCCGUCCUCUUACUCUUUAAUGGAGUCAAAUCGAUUAAUGCCCUUUUACUUCUUCUUCUUUCUCUUCUCUAGUAGAUAUUUCAUGGAUGAGUUUGAAUUUAUUUCUAAACUUUUGCAUUUUUUUUAGGAAAACGAGCGAAAACAAGAGAUUCUCAGACUCAACGAAGAACUCAAAGUUGUUGAAGGUUAUUUUAAAUUUUCCGUUGAAGUUUACUUGUCUUUUAAAUUUUUCUUCGUGCGUGGAUGCGGAGCUGUGUAUGGGUACUCUCAAUCGCUUCUAAUUUCUCUGUCUGGUGAUUUCUUUUGUUAUUAUCAGUUCAAAAUGUCCCUUUGAUUUAGUGAUUUCCCCUGCUCAUUUUGAUUUUCAGGUAGGUAUAGCCGUAAAGGUGAUUUUCUGUAUUAUAAUUAUUUUUGAGAAAAAGAUUUUGAUUUCAACUUGGUAUGCAUAAUAUCUUGAUUAGGGUUAUCUGUGAGAUGAAAGUCCUAAUUUUUAUAUGUUCUCCAUAACUUAUGGAGUUCUGUUCUGUAUGGUGCUAAAUAGUAGUAUAUUUUUAGAUGUAUAAUUAUGGUGUAGUGAGUUUAGCAGAAACAAGGGGAUGGUCUUCGAAGACACAAACAUACAGUGAUAGAAAAAGAGAUCCUGGUGAACUAGAUGUUUCAAAAUCAAGGAGCUUCCACAAAAGGUUACAAUGUUCUUGCAAUAUUGCGUUGGAGAACUACUGAUGGAAAUACAAAGCAAGAUUGAAUGAGGUGCAAAACAUGCAGCUGGAACUCUUGACAAUUGUACUGGAGUUUGAUGCACUUAUUUGCAUCAAUGUCCACAAUCUGGACCUUUGGUUUAUGACACAGAUCAUAGGAAGCCUUACUCCUAGCAGUGAGAGUUGAAGUAAGAGUUGCUGCUUUCGUCAUUGAAGAGCCCACACCAGUCUUCUCCUUUUGCUUGUUUUCUUACUGCCAUAUUCUUCUCCUUUAGUGCUCCAGGGAAAGCCUUACCUCUGUUUUGAUGUAGUACUCCAGGUGCAGUCUCUCUGUUGUGAAUUCAAGAUUACUUUGCUCUUUUCUAAUAAAUGCUUCUUAAGGAACACCUCUUUUUGAGUUUUAGGUUAAGAAUGAUGCUAGCUAGAGACAACAACUAUUUUAUUUGAACAAAGUCAUACAUGGAAAGUGGUUUGAGGUUUCAGUAGAUUGUGUAAAACCCUUUGUCUUUGGCUCUUAUUUAUGUAUUUACUUGAUAUAUAGCUCUCAAAACUGUUGAUUCUUAGGUUAAUAAUAACUUUACUUUUUCGUGCAAUUCAGAUUCUUGAGUAGGAACCGAUUGUCAAGCUCUAAAAUGUAUUUGAUUACUUGAAGAUUGUGAAAAUUAUAUAUUGUUACUUGGACAGUAUUUUCAAAGAUAUGGAUAGGUUCUUUCUCCUUAUAAUUGGAUGGAGUAAGCAUUUUUGCAUUUUCACCAAAUAGGACAGUGAUAUUUAGUUUGCAUUGAGACAUGACUUUUAUGUUUUCAGGCUACACGGUUAUCUUUGGACCAUACACUUCAUUUCUCUUUGUUUGGACAGGUUGGGUGACGCUUACACUGUGCUUUAGUAAUAUGUAGAAUCUCCUCUCAUCUUUUAUUCAUUAUAUUUUCCAUCUCCUCUUUUCUCAAUGGGGGUUAGGGAUGUAGAUGGUUGUUUCUUUGUUUUUUCGUCUUCCUCUUAAGAACGAGGUCUAUCUGAGCAUAUCUUUAGCUUGAAAAGUAGCUUUUCAAAUGCUUUUUAGGAUCCUAUAACUUGUCAUUCCAGCAUUCUCACGACCCUGCCUAUGAAUUAACGCAAAAGCAACAGGAAAUCAAAACUCGAAAUGUUUAUCUUUGGUCCCUCUAUUACAGUUCCAAAGCUCUUCCCUUUAAAUUCAUUGACGGGUCAAGACUUCUUCAGUGUUACUUUGAAGAGGUUGCUUCAACUUCGUACUGAAAUGAAAGUUUCAAGUUUGUAGCAAAACACAAUGACGGGAAACUAUUUUUAAGUGUAAUUCUACGAUCUAAUUGGUGAUAAUUGCUGAGACAAAUUCAAGUGUUGGUUUUACAAAAAUUAACAAGAUGUGUUCAGUUUUCGUGUAUUGCUGAAGAAAGUGAUGAACUCUUUCCCUGCCACCAAGUGAUCCUCUCCAUUUAUGUUAUCUUUUAGAUGCUUAAUCCGAUCUUUAUGAUUUUCUAAAGAGAUUUUACUGUUUAUUGUUUACAGGGUUUGAAGAGUUUUAGUUACAAGUCAAGAUGAGAGUAUUGAAGACUUCAUACAAGUAGCGAGGAAAAAUAUUGUAUUUUGAUGAGUAGUUGUGUAAACAGUUGGUUGUAUUACAAGCUAGAUGUUAGUACUUUUUUUGUAAUUAAUUACCUAUUCUAAUAUUUGUAAAUGAAAGCAUUCAUUUUUUGUUGAUAAUUUUGUUGCUGUGCC